UACGUAGGUGGCAAGCGUUGUCCGGAUUUAUUGGGUUUAAAGGGUGCGUAGGCGGCCCUGUAAGUCAGUGGUGAAAUACUCUAGCUUAACUAGAGGGGUGCCAAUGAUACUGCAGGGCUUGAGUACAGAUGAGGUAGGCGGAAUUGACGGUGUAGCGGUGAAAUGCAUAGAUAUCGGGAGGAACACCAGUGGCGAAGGCGGUUGCCUGGAGCUUUGCUGACGCUGAGGCGCGAAAGCGUGGGGAGCGAUCCGG
rnacentral:rRNA from 1 species